UACGAAGGGUGCAAACGUUGCUCGGAAUUAUUGGGCGUAAAGCGCACGUAGGCGGCUUUGCAAGUCGGAUGUGAAAUCCCUCGGCUUAACCAAGGAAGUGCAUCCGAAACUGCAGAGCUUGAGUACUUAAGAGGAUCGCGGAAUUCCCGGUGUAGAGGUGAAAUUCGUAGAUAUCAGGAGGAACACCUGUGGCGAAAGCGGCUCACUGGACCACAACUGACGCUGAGGCGCGAAAGCUAGGGGAGCAAACAGG
rnacentral:rRNA from 1 species